rnacentral:rRNA from 1 species
GACGAACGCUGGCGGCGUGCUUAACACAUGCAAGUCGAACGGAAAGGCCCUGCGUUUGCUGGUUGCUCGAUUGGCGAACGGGGGAGUAACACGUGAGUAACCUGCCCUUGACUUUGGGAUAACUUCAGGAAACUGGGGCGAAUAUCGGAUAUGAUCUCCUGCUGCGUGUUGGUGGUUGGAAAGUUUCGGCGGUGGGGGAUGGACUCGCGGCUUAUCAGCUUGUUGGUGGGGUAGUGGCGUACCAAGGCUUUGACGGGUAGCCGGCAUGGGAGGGUGACCGGCCACCUUGGGACUGCGAUACGGCCCAGAAUCCUACGGGAGGCAGCAGUGGGGAAUAUUGCACAAUGGGCGGAAGCCUGAUGCAGAAACGCCGCGUGCGGGAUGACGGCCUUCGGGUUGUAAACAGAUUUCGAAUGUGACGAAGAGUGAGUGACGGUAAUGGGUAAAGAAGCCACGGCUAACUACGUG